GGAGGGUGCAAGCGUUGUUCGGAAUUACUGGGCGUAAAGCGUGUGUAGGCGGAUUCGGUAGUCGGGUGUGAAAGCCCUGGGCUCAACCCAGGAAGUGCGCCCGAAACCACGGAUCUUGAGUUCCGGAGGGGAUCGGGGAAUUCCCAGUGUAGAGGUGAAAUUCGUAGAUAUUGGGAGGAACACCGGCGGCGAAGGCGCCGAUCUGGACGGACACUGACGCUGAGACACGAAAGCGUGGGUAGCAAACAGGAUUAGAUACCCUGGGUAGUCCACGCCGUAAACGAUGUGCACUAGGUGUCGGGGGUAUUGACCCCCCCUCGGUGCCGACGCUAACGCAUUAAGUGCACCGCCUGGGAAGUACGGCCGCAAGGCUG
rnacentral:rRNA from 1 species